rnacentral:rRNA from 1 species
GCUACAGGCUUAACACAUGCAAGUCGAGGGGCAGCAUGGUCUUAGCUUGCUAAGGCCGAUGGCGACCGGCGCACGGGUGAGUAACACGUAUCCAACCUGCCGUCUACUCUUGGACAGCCUUCUGAAAGGAAGAUUAAUACAAGAUGGCAUCAUGAGUCCGCAUGUUCACAUGAUUAAAGGUAUUCCGGUAGACGAUGGGGAUGCGUUCCAUUAGAUAGUAGGCGGGGUAACGGCCCACCUAGUCUUCGAUGGAUAGGGGUUCUGAGAGGAAGGUCCCCCACAUUGGAACUGAGACAUGGUCCAAACUCCUACGGGAGGCAGCAGUGAGGAAUAUUGGUCAAUGGGCGAGAGCCUGAACCAGCCAAGUAGCGUGAAGGAUGACUGCCCUAUGGGUUGUAAACUUCUUUUAUAAAGGAAUAAAGUCGGGUAUGGAUACCCGUUUGCAUGUACUUUAUGAAUAAGGAUCGGCUAACUCCGUGCCAGCAGCCGCGGUAAUACGGAGGAUCCGAGCGUUAUCCGGAUUUAUUGGGUUUAAAGGGAGCGUAGAUGGAUGUUUAAGUCAGUUGUGAAAGUUUGCGGCUCAACCGUAAAAUUGCAGUUGAUACUGGAUAUCUUGAGUGCAGUUGAGGCAGGCGGAAUUCGUGGUGUAGCGGUGAAAUGCUUAGAUAUCACGAAGAACUCCGAUUGCGAAGGCAGCCUGCUAAGCUGCAACUGACAUUGAGGCUCGAAAGUGUGGGUAUCAAACAGGAUUAGAUACCCUGGUAGUCCACACGGUAAACGAUGAAUACUCGCUGUUUGCGAUAUACUGCAAGCGGCCAAGCGAAAGCGUUAAGUAUUCCACCUGGGGAGUACGCCGGCAACGGUGAAACUCAAAGGAAUUGACGGGGGCCCGCACAAGCGGAGGAACAUGUGGUUUAAUUCGAUGAUACGCGAGGAACCUUACCCGGGCUUAAAUUGCAGAUGAAUUACGGUGAAAGCCGUAAGCCGCAAGGCAUCUGUGAAGGUGCUGCAUGGUUGUCGUCAGCUCGUGCCGUGAGGUGUCGGCUUAAGUGCCAUAACGAGCGCAACCCUUGUUGUCAGUUACUAACAGGUUCCGCUGAGGACUCUGACAAGACUGCCAUCGUAAGAUGUGAGGAAGGUGGGGAUGACGUCAAAUCAGCACGGCCCUUACGUCCGGGGCUACACACGUGUUACAAUGGGGGGUACAGAGGGCCGCUACCACGCGAGUGGAUGCCAAUCCCCAAAACCUCUCUCAGUUCGGACUGGAGUCUGCAACCCGACUCCACGAAGCUGGAUUCGCUAGUAAUCGCGCAUCAGCCACGGCGCGGUGAAUACGUUCCCGGGCCUUGUACACACCGCCCGUCAAGCCAUGGGAGCCGGGGGUACCUGAAGUGCGUAACCGCGAGGAGCGCCCUAGGGUAAAACUGGUGACUGGGGCUAAG